CCUUCGCCAGCAGGUUAGGUUGAGUGGGGCUCCCGGAGAAAGAAGGAUCUGGAAGGUGCCGAUGCUCGAGGAGAGGGAUCGGGCAUGAGGAAGAGAACGGAGGAUUCGCCCCGCGGAGCCGCGUACACCGUCUCUCUCUCCCAAACAUGGCCAUGUUCCUCCCUCUCUCCACACCGACAAACUCACCGGAAGAAGAGCGUCCGGUACAUUUGGUGCGCCUCAUAGUAAUCGCCCUUCUCGACGCUCGCCCGGAGCUUGCUCUCGACCCGCUGGACUCCGCCCCGGUUCCUGCAGCACUUGGGCACCUCGCCGUCCGCCAUUGCUACCCGCAGCCAAAGGUCAAAGGGCGAGCCGCUUAUGCGCGGCGCGCCGACGUCAUGGCUACGGCGUCCUUCGCCGCUCAAAGAACGCGGGGUCCAGUCAUCUUCAAAAUCACAGCGGAGGCCGGCGUGGAAGAGGAGGUGCUGCAGCCGCUGGAAGUCUGACACUUCUAGAAUUAGGGGAAACUCCUAAUCGGGGGUGAUGACGUGAGGCCUCCACCAGCCGGAGCUCUUCACUAAGAUUAUAUCUGACCCUCAACUCCACAUUCGUGCAUCUCACCCCCUAUGCCACCCGAGAACAAAACUAAUCUUUCAGACUCCGGCCGGGAAUCGAUCCCCCUCUUGGCCGCCUUUCAAGGAGAGUCUUACAGGCUCACUGAGGGAAUGCUUGCCUAGUGUCGACAAGCUGCCUUGUGUUUUUCCCACUGCCAGCAGAAGAGAUUCUACAUACGAUACCAUUUGAUAAAACUGAGGACAAAGCCUUAUCUGGGGACCGCAAGAAAAAUUGUUACUCAAAGAUCUUGGCAAUGAGGAAUAAGUUGGAUUACAACCACAAAACACCAUUUUCUUUUCACCUAUCCUAAUAAUAUUUCUAUCAAAUUUUUUUGAGAAGUGAACAGUAACAUCAGUGGAGGAGGCAAGAUAUUAGCAGGCUCUUAAAGUUUAAAAGAUCUGGUUUCAUUUUACUGAUGUUCCCAAUACUAAAAUAGAAAUAAAAUGAAAAGCUAGGUUUUUUUUUUGGCUCCAAGUCUUCAGUACGAGGAGAGAUUGGCAAGAUUGGGAUUGUUUUUGCUGGAGUUCAGACAAACGAGGGGGAAUUUCAUAGGGUAGAUGAAGGGAGGAUGUUCCUGAUGGUGGGUGUCCAGAACCAGGUCUCACAGUAUGAGGAUUUAGAGUAAAGGAUUUAGGACACAGAUGGGGAGACAUUUCUUCAUGCACAGGAAGUAGUUGAUACCCAAACAGCAAAUGUAUUCAAAAAGAUGACUAGAUAUAGCACUUGGAGUGAAUGGGAUUGAAGAUUAUGGGAAGAAAGCAGGAUUAGGCUAUUGAAUUCAAUGAUCAGCUGGGGGAGUAGGCAUAAAGGGGUGAAUGGCCUCUACCUCCUAUCUUCUAAUGUUUCCAUAGUAAUGGAAUAUGAGCCACUCAUUUGCUUCUUUUUUAUUUAUUUCGUUUGUGGAAUAUGGGCAUCGCUGGCUAGCAUUUUUUACCCAUCCCCAGUUGCCUGUGUCACAGACAGUGUCAAGCUUCUUGAGUAUUGUUGCUUCCAAGGCAAAUAAUACUGACUUUGGCAGACAAUGAAUUCUUGAAGCAUAAUAUGGACUACUCCAAUAUUACUGAAAACACUGAUUCCAAUUAAUGACUACAAUGCUCUAACAGCUGAGUAGUAGCCUCUAAUAUCUUGCUCUUUUAGACUUGCUUAUAAAGAACCUGCUGCUUUCUCAGCACAUUAAAAACACUAGUCUAGGAAGGUCUCCAUUCUUUUAAGGAUCAAUGCCUUUAGAACCAAGUGAGGUUAAUAAUGUAGAGGGGCUAGGAAUUCUGCACCAAUCAGACAAUUACAUCUAAAGUCUUAAAAAAGGUAGAAUUGUCUUUGACACAAGCCAACCACAUUGCAGGUCAAGAGAUUUUAGAAUCAGAAAUACAGAGAUUGCAUGCCACAAUCAAUGACCCUACGAGUAUAGGCACCCACUCACUGAGGUCCGUGCUGGAGGUGGUUAGGCAGAUGAGAUAGGUGCCAAAUCUGCAUUGCAGUUGAACCUAUACAGUCUAACAAUCAGAGGGAAGGCUCACUUGAGGAGUGGUGACCCAAAGUGAACAUUUAAUCCAAAAUCUGUAUGCUUAGGUGGAGGACAAUUUAUGCUAUGAAUAUGUGGAAUGUUACAUCAAGCAUGAGUCUACAUACACAUGGCUGGGGGAAGAUUGUUUGAAGAUAAAGGAAAUCAGACUUGAAGUACUGGAAUAAUCGCCAAUUAAUUUCAUACAUAAUUUUACUUGCAAGUACAAAGGAAGUUGUGUUGUAAUAAAUAAUUGGUGGAGAAAAUCAUCAACUUUCUCCAUAUACAGCAGAAAGUUACAUGUAAUGAUUGAAGAAAUGAAGACUCUCCAAAAGAAAGAAGAAAUCCUGUCAACAGGAUGGUUUGAGGGCAGUUAUCUCAACUGGAGGACAUCCCUGCAAGCUCCUUAGGAUAGAUAUUUUCUGAUCAAUCUGAUUAGAGAUGUUAUUACACACCUCUGGAGCAUAUGGGACUUGAACCUGGGCCUCUGGCUCAGAGGUAGGAGCAUCACCACUGCAUGUAAGAGGCCAGAGUGCCUCAAGAUAGUGCCCUGGACCCGAUGAUCUUCAGCUGCUUCAUCAUUGACAUACCCUCUAAGUUCAGAUAUGGGGACAUUCACCAACAAUUGCACAUUAUUCAGCACCAUUUGUGACUCAAAAUACUGAAACAUUCCAUGUCCAAAUGCAACAAGAUCUGGAUAAUAUCCAGGCGAGAGUGCGACAAAAAUUUUGCACCAUAUGAACGACAGGCAAUGAUCAUCUCCAAAAAGAGAGAAUCUAACCAUCAUCCUUUGACAUUCAAUCAUGUUAUGAUCACUAAAUCUCCCAUGAUCAACAUCCUUGGUGAUCAGAAACUGAACUGGAAAAUCAUAAAUAUUGUGGCAAUGAAAGCAGGACAGAGGCUAGGAAUUCUACAAUGAGUAGUCCAUCACCUGACUCCCCAAAGCCCAUCCAUCCACAAGGCACAAAUAAGGAGUUUGCUGGAAUGCUCUUUACUUGCCUGGAUGAUUGCAGCUACAACAACAAUGAAGGUACAUGACACUAUUCAAGGCUAAGAAGCUUGCUUGAUUGGCACCAUACCCACAAGCAUCCAGUCCCUUCAUCACUGACCCUCAAUAUCAGUAAUGUAUACCAUCUACAAGCUGUAGUGCAGAAAUUCACCCAAGAACCUUCAAAAACACCUUUCAAAUCCAUGACUGCUUUUUUCUAGAAGGUCAAGGGCAGCAGAUAGACCUACAGGUUCUCUCCAAGGAGACUAAAAAUGGUCAAUAAAAGCUGGCCAGCCAGCAAUGCCCACAUCUCAUGACCAAACUUUAAAAAAAAAAUCACCACAAAUGCAAGUUAGAUUCUAAAAAGUGAAAGACUGGGUCAUAUCCCUUCCAUGAUCAAGAUUCAACCAGACACAAAUGAGUUUUAAACAACAAUUAAAGUUUGAUGAACAAAACUAGACAUGAGAAGAGAUUGUGAAGUACUGUUAUAUUUCAAUGUAAAUUCAUUUCAGGAGAAAAAGAUCAAUCAGAAUCUUUUAUAUUCUACCUUAAGUCUUACGCAAGUACUUUUAAAAUAAAUUCUGUAAAAAUCA